GCUGUCCACGUCCGAAGCAGGACCCUGAGCUGGGGGAGCGCUCUGCUGGGUUGCUACGGGGCGCGGUGCGGGAGCUUCUUUGGCUUCCGGUACCUUGUCUCCGCGUUCCUUGGCCAGUUCACGGAGAACGGCUUCCAUGCGGGUGCCAGCCAGGUUGUUAGCCUGCUGAAUCUUGCGAAUCACAUCGCGGCGGAGCAGGCGGGCGGUCUCGAUAGUCACGUUGUCGAAGUCGAUCAGGAGCGGCUUCUGACGAAGCUCAGCCACACCUGCACGCAUCAUCUUGGCCGGGACCUGGGUCGCGCCACCGAAGCUGACGUUGGUAUAGACGAGCGGGUUGCCGUCUUUGUCCUUCUUGUCGUUCUUCGCCGGGGUCUUCUUGACGUUCACGGUGCACAUGAACGGCUGGUUGAGCAGCGGCUCGAUAUCCAGGUCGGUACCGUCCAGGAUCGCGGUUGCUGCACCCGGUUGCAUUGCUUUCGCCAGCUUGGUCAGCGGGCUGUUCGGGUGGUAGGUCCAGAUGCCACCUUCGACGAUACGGCCUUCGCCGUCACGCGGCGGGGUCGCCUGGAGGGUGAUACCACUCACUUCACCACGGAAGGACUUGUUCAGCAUCAGGCGGUACUGUUGCUCACCGAUGUCACCACCGUAGUCCACUACUUCUUCCACCAGGUCUGCGAAUACUGCCACCUGAUCCACAGGCUUCUGAGCUUUGCUCUCACCGUUCUCAUCAACGAAGUCUUCCCGGUUUUGCUCGCCCAGGUAGACGAUCAGCGAGACGCGGGCUUCGUGGUUACCCGGGGUCGGCUCGGGGAGGUUGACGAACUCACGCGGGGUGCCGGUGUUGCCAGUGCUUUUGGGACGCAGUGCCAUGUUUUACUUCUCCUAUCAAUUACCCUAUCGGGCGGUAGUUGCCCCUAAUCGGGGGGUUUGUCGCUUGUUAGCGAACUU
rnacentral:antisense_RNA from 1 species